rnacentral:lncRNA from 1 species
CCAGACAGUCUGAUAUAAGCCGAUACAAGGCUAUAUUACCGAUACAAUUACUGAUACUGCGAUUUAGGCUGUCCAUUUAACCAACUCUAUAAUUGAAAAAGAGGAGAAGAAGAAAAAAAAACGUAAAAGAAUAGUGGCAAUGCUGUUAUGUCUAGAAGUUCACUCAAAGGGAGAGAACACAAGAAAUUUCCAUCUCCAUCGCAGAACCUAUUUCUUUGAUGGCAUAUCUACACUAAGUUCUAUAGUAAAGUGUUUUGAGUUCACACCUCUUUAGAGUUUCUGAAAAAUAAAAAUGCCACCUGGCUUUUUUUUAGAUCUCCUCUCUCAUAAGAAAGAAUUGCUAAAUAAUGAACUAAAAAUAAAACACUACGUGGAUGUUUGAUAACUGUUUUAUUUUAAUUUUUUUAUUUUUAUUUUGUUUAAUUUAUAAAUAAAAAUAGAAAACUUGUUUGUGUUGCAAAAAAUAAAUAAAAAUAAAGCAAAAUUAAUUGCACUAUUUUUGAAAAUAGUAAAAACAAGAAAAAGUUAUUUUUGUUUUGUUUACAAAAAAAUUUGGAUGAAUUUUUUUUGUAAAUUUUUCCAAUCACCUCAACCGCCUCCGCCUCCGCCUCCUUCACCACCACCACCACCGCCGCCGCCACCAUCUUUUUUUAAAAUAAUUUAAAAAUAGGUGAACACAAAUAUAUUUUUGUGUAAAAAUAAUUUAAAAAUAGGUGAACACAAACAUAUUUUUAGUUUCUGUUUUACAAAAAACAAAACAAAAGAAAAUAAAAAUUAAACAAAUACAAAAAAAAAUAGAAAAGUAAAAGUAAGAAAAGUUAUUUUUGUUUUGUUUAAAAAAAAAAAAUUCAUCCAAAUUUUUUCAAUCACCUCCGCCAUCACCUUCGCCACCACCAGCGCCACUUUCAUCUCCGCUACCAUCACCUCCUCCACCGCCACCGCUACUUUUUUUUUUAAAUAGUUUCAGAAAAUGUGAACACAAAUAUAUUUUUAUUUUUAAAUAUUUUAAAAAUAGGUGAACACAAACAUAUUUUUUAUUUUUAUUUUAUAAAAAACAAAACAAAACAAAAAUUAAAUAAACACAAAAAAUAGAAAAAUAAAAACGUUAUCAAACAUCCUCUACGUGUUCCAAACCAGUCAAAUCGCUACGCAUCCGAAUGACCCAUAGUCAAUUUCUAGGGUUUUCAUUUCAGCUGCAUACCCAUGGGUGAAUGGAUGAUCUAAGAGAUGUGAAUGGCUCGGGUUUUCAUUUCUCGGGGUUAUCGGCUUGAAUUUUUUGCUUUUUAUUAACCAGGUUAUUAGAUUUAUUUUGAUUGUCAUGUUUUUUAUUUCUUAUUUUCCAGCUGUGUAUUAUAACUGAGUUAUGUAUAUUUUGCUGAAAUGAAGAAAUGAACAACAUCUGAAAUGAAGAAAUGAACAACAUUAGAAGAAUAUGGAACAUGUUGAAUUUGUAGAGUCCAUGAGCCAGGUCCCUUUUCAUGGACUGGGGCUAGAUCCAUUUUCUCUGCUACUCAUUCUGCAGGUGGAGUUCACCAUAUAAAUAAAUAAUUAAGGCCCCGUUUGGCCCAAAAAAGUUUUUGAGAUAUUUUAGUUGCUUUGAUUUUUGAGAUUUUUUCGCUUCUAGUAAAUUUUUUUAAUCGUUUGAUCAAAAUUUUAUAUUUUGUUGUUCUUUUUAACGAGAAAAGUCUGAAAAUAUAAAAAUCUUUAUCUAAUUUAGAAAGAUGUUCACGAAAGUGAAAAAAGUAACACUUUUUUACUUGAUAAAUUAGCUAAAUUUUUAUCUUUUAAUAGAUUUCUUAUUCCAAAUUUAAACAAUCUUUUUUCAUUUUCGGAUUUUCUCGUCAAUAAGAAAAGAAAAAGUAUAUUUUUUUUCUUAAACAGAGAAAAAGUUCACAAAAAGAUGGAAAAAUUUCAAAAUCAAGCACCUAAAAAUCUAGAUUGUAUGAAUCUAUAAUAAAAACUGUUAAAACAAUUUUUAAUUAAAAAUAAUAUAUUUCUUCUUUUAAAAUGGAGAACUGGAUCGAAGAUUCUUAUAAGUAGCUUCGAACUUAUUUCAUCUAAUACCAUCAUACACAAAAAGUUACGUACAUGUUUGGCAAAAUUUUAAAGCAUCAACUUCUGCUUUUUAGUUUUAAAAUUUGUUUCAAAAUGUUUAAUAAAACUUCUGUUUAUGGAUUAAAAAUAAUUUAUAAAGCUAAAAAAGAGUUGAUUUUUGAAAGUUUUAUUUUAAAAAAUUUUAACUUCUAUUUUUAAGUAAAUAAUUUUAACAUAAGUUGAGCUAUUAUGCUAAACACACUCUAUACACAAUUUAUUGACUAUAGAACAACUAUACACACGUGAAUGUUACAUUUUCUAUUUCGUGCCAUCACAAACAAAAAUGGCAAUGUAUUCACAGUGAAGAGCAAAAACCGAGCUGAUUAUGUGCCCACAACAUAACUCUCUCUCUCUCUCCACUGAUGGAUUAGAAGAGAAGUUGAAGUUUGCACAAUUAGUGCGUCGC